CAACCCUUAAGCCCUUGUUGCUUAGUGUUGGGAGCCUACUACGGUUAGCGUGCGUAGUUCCCCAAAGUGAGUGGUAGAGACGGUUUGUGCUCUAGGUGUAGUAGAUUUUCUUUAUCUCGCCUAUAGCCGGGCCUAUCUCUCGCCGUAAAACCCGCUAUAUUUUAGCGCAUCUUAUAA
rnacentral:misc_RNA from 1 species